UACGUAGGGGGCAAGCGUUGUCCGGAAUCAUUGGGCGUAAAGCGCGUGUAGGCGGCCACGCAGGUCCGCUGUGAAAACUCGAGGCUCAACCUCGAGAUGUCGGUGGAAACCGCGUGGCUAGAGUCCGGAAGAGGAGAGUGGAAUUCCCGGUGUAGCGGUGAAAUGCGCAGAUAUCGGGAAGAACACCCAUGGCGAAGGCAGCUCUCUGGGACGGUACUGACGCUGAGGCGCGAAAGCGUGGGGAGCAAAACGG
rnacentral:rRNA from 1 species